UACAGAGGUCCCAAGCGUUGUUCGGAUUCAUUGGGCGUAAAGGGUGCGUAGGUGGCGCUGUAAGUCGGGUGUGAAAUUUCGGAGCUUAACUCCGAAACUGCAUUCGAUACUGCGGUGCUUGAGGACUGGAGAGGAGACUGGAAUUCAUGGUGUAGCAGUGAAAUGCGUAGAGAUCAUGAGGAAGACCAGUGGCGAAGGCGGGUCUCUGGACAGUUCCUGACGCUGAGGCACGAAGGCCAGGGGAGCAAACGGG
rnacentral:rRNA from 1 species